UACGGAGGGUGCGAGCGUUGUCCGGAAUCAUUGGGCGUAAAGGGCGCGUAGGUGGCCCGGUCAGUCAGUGGUGAAAGCGCGGGGCUCAACUCCGCGUCGGCCAUUGAUACUGCUGGGCUGGAGCACUGUAGAGGCAGGCGGAAUUCCGGGUGUAGCGGUGGAAUGCGUAGAGAUCCGGAAGAACACCGGUGGCGAAGGCGGCCUGCUGGGCAGUAGCUGACACUGAGGCGCGACAGCGUGGGGAGCAAACAGG
rnacentral:rRNA from 1 species